UUUCGCUUCAUCUGCGCGCCCUAAUUUUCGUCUUCAGUAAUCAAGCUCAAUCUAGCGAUCAAGAUUCAAGAAUCGACGAAAUCCCCUAAAUACUAAUCAGUAUGGCGGAUCUACGACGCAUUAUCACGCAGUAGAAAAAAAGAUGGGUUUAUGCUAUCCCUCCACUCCAAAGAAGUUGGCUGUGACUGUGGCAUGGUUUCUCAUGGGUGCUUCAUUAUUCGGUAUUGGUGCCCAUCUCUCAUAUGUUAAUGUUGCUCCACAACAAGCACGAACCAAAGCACGUUCUGAUUUUAUCACGCAGAAAUUGAACGAGAAACAUGGCAAGUAGUGACUUACUUCCUUACUUACUCCUAAGUCCUUGAUUUUAUAAAUUGAAACAGUUCAUUUCUCUUCUUUUAUGAAUCAAUGUGGAAUGCUACCAUCUUUAUGCACUCUAAACCUUUGAAUAUCAUGCUAUCCGAUGCUCUAAUAUUUCGGUUUCAUUCUUCUUAAAUAUCUCAACAGCAGUAGCACCCACCAUAUUUGUAUGAUAUGAUAAGCUGGUAUUUGUAUGUUAUAGAUUGGAUGUCCUGAAUACCAUCUUGAUUUU